UCCGACCUCAGAUCGGACGAGAUUACCCGCUGAAUUUAAGCAUAUAACUAAGCGGAGGAAAAGAAACUAACAAG
rnacentral:rRNA from 3 species